rnacentral:rRNA from 1 species
CCUACGGGAGGCAGCAGUGGGGAAUAUUGCACAAUGGGGGAAACCCUGAUGCAGCAACGCCGCGUGAGUGAAGAAGGCUUUCGGAUUGUAAAGCUCUGUUAGCAGGGAAGAGGAAGGACGGUACCUGCAGAGGAAGCGACGGCUAACUACGUGCCAGCAGCCGCGGUAAUACGUAGGGGGCAAGCGUUGUUCGGAAUAACUGGGCGGAAAGGAUGCGUAGGCGGUUAAAAAAGUUAGAUGUUAAAUAUAUGGGCUUAACCUGUAGAAAGCAUAUAAAACUGUAUAACUAGAGUGCAGGAGAGGGGGGUGGAAUUCCUAGUGUAGCGGUGAAAGGCGUAGAGAUUAGGAAGAACACCGGUGGCGAAGGCGGCUUACUGGAAUGUAACUGACGCUCAGGCAUGAGAGCAUGGGGAGCAAACAGGAUUAGAUACCCUUGUAGUC